rnacentral:rRNA from 1 species
GACGAACGCUGGCGGCGUGCUUAACACAUGCAAGUCGAACGGAAAGGCCCUGCUUUUGUGGGGUGCUCGAGUGGCGAACGGGUGAGUAACACGUGAGUAACCUGCCCUUGACUUUGGGAUAACUUCAGGAAACUGGGGCUAAUACCGGAUAGGAGCUCCUGCUGCAUGGUGGGGGUUGGAAAGUUUCGGCGGUUAGGGAUGGACUCGCGGCUUAUCAGCUUGUUGGUGGGGUAGUGGCUUACCAAGGCUUUGACGGGUAGCCGGCCUGAGAGGGUGACCGGCCACAUUGGGACUGAGAUACGGCCCAGACUCCUACGGGAGGCAGCAGCGGGGAAUAUUGCACAAUGGGCGGAAGCCUGAUGCAGCAACGCCGCGUGCGGGAUGACGGCCUUCGGGUUGUAAACCGCUUUCGCCUGUGACGAAGCGUGAGUGACGGUAAUGGGUAAAGAAGCACCGGCUAACUACGUG